CGGCCUGGGCAGCACCACCA
rnacentral:miRNA from 1 species